AAAGACUCUGAGAGAGCUAAUGCUGGAGAGAUUUGGCUGUUUACCCCUCUGGGACUGGAUUCGGGUUAUAUCCUGUGUUGUGACCUCAUGGUUUAAGUGGGAAUAAA
rnacentral:sRNA from 1 species